CAAUAGCGUAUAUUAAAGUUGUUGCAGUUAGAACGCUCGUAGUCGGAUUUCGGGGCGGGGCGACCGGUCUGCCGAUGGGUAUGCACUGGUCGGCGCGUCCUUCCUUCCGGAGACCGUUCCUACUCUUAACUGAGCGGGGGCGGGAGACGGAUCGUUUACUUUGAAAAAAUCAGAGUGUUUCAAGCAGGCAGCUCGCUCUUGCAUGGAUUAGCAUGGGAUAAUGAAAUAGGACUUUGGUGCUAUUUUGUUGGUUUCGAACACCGAAGUAAUGAUUAAAAGGGACAGUCAGGGGCACUCGUAUUCCGCCGAGAGAGGUGAAAUUCUCAGACCAGCGGAAGACGAACCACUGCGAAAGCAUUUGCCAGGGAUGUUUUCACUG
rnacentral:rRNA from 1 species